rnacentral:tRNA from 1 species
UCCCUGAUGGCUUAGUGGUAAAAAAUCUGCCUGCUGUUGCAGAAGGCACAGGUUCAAUCCCUGACCUGGGAA